GGAACUGAGUUUGACACUCCUGCUGAAAUGCUUUGAUUGUUGAUUAAACAUUACUUAUAAAUACACAACUGCUUUAUUCAGUGCAAGAAGCCACAUCAUCUCACAGAAGGAUGCUCCACUGUCAUUAUAAAAGUCUUUUCAGAGGCCUUCUGUGGUUUUGGCUGGUAAUUAAGGAUCCAAGCUGGAAGCAGAAAGGUCAUGCGUUUGAUCCCAGGUGACGAGUGAACACGAAGACAGGCGAUCUGGAUCAGGAUGACAGACGGAAGACGGUCAGGAGACUGGAUACAGGACGAGACGAUCUCAGGUGGAGGCCAGUGAAGAGCACUGCUGAGGCUGAUGGAUGGCGCUCAGCGUGGGGUAAACACAACGUUUGGCAUCUGUGUCAGACACACAAUCAUUGGGUGCAACCCGGAGUUCUGCCAAUCCUCUGUUGGUUAUCCGCUCCUUUGAUAUCAGCCGAGGGCUUCUUUCCCACGUGGGUGUAGUCUCAUCAUGUCAGCCUUU